rnacentral:rRNA from 1 species
UGGGGAAUUUUGCGCAAUGGGGGAAACCCUGACGCAGCAACGCCGCGUGCGGGAUGACGGCCUUCGGGUUGUAAACCGCUUUCAGUAGGGAAGAAAUUGACGGUACCUACAGAAGAAGCUCCGGCUAACUACGUGCCAGCAGCCGCGGUAAUACGUAGGGAGCGAGCGUUAUCCGGAUUCAUUGGGCGUAAAGCGCGCGUAGGCGGCUUGCCAAGCGAGAUCUCAAAUCCUGGGGCUCAACCUCAGGCCGGAUUUCGAACUGGCAGGCUCGAGUGUGGUAGAGGAAGGUGGAAUUCCAAGUGUAGCGGUGAAAUGCGCAGAUAUUUGGAAGAACACCGAUGGCGAAGGCAGCCUUCUGGGCCAUCACUGACGCUGAGGUGCGAAAGCUAGGGGAGCAAACAGGAUUAGAUACCCUGGUA